UACGUAGGGGGCGAGCGUUGUCCGGAUUUAUUGGGCGUAAAGAGCGUGUAGGCGGCCAGGUAGGUCUGCUGUGAAAACUCGAGGCUCAACCUCGAGACGUCGGCGGAAACCAUCUGGCUAGAGUCCGGAAGAGGAGAGUGGAAUUCCUGGUGUAGCGGUGAAAUGCGUAGAUAUCGGGAGGAACACCUGUGGCGAAAGCGGCGCACUGGACCACAUCUGACGCUGAGGCGCGAAAGCUAGGGGAGCAAACAGG
rnacentral:rRNA from 1 species